UCCUACGGGAGGCAGCAGUAGGGAAUAUUGGGCAAUGGGCGCAAGCCUGACCCAGCGACGCCGCGUGAGGGAUGAAGGUCUUCGGAUUGUAAACCUCUUUCAGUAGGGAAGAAGCGAAAGUGACGGUACCUAAAGAAGAAGCACCGGCUAACUAUGUGCCAGCAGCCGCGGUAAUACAUAGGGUGCAAGCGUUGUCCGGAAUUAUUGGGCGUAAAGAGCUCGUAGGUCGUUUGUCGCGUCGAUUGUGAAAAUCUGAGGCUCAACCUCAGACCUGCAGUCGAUACGGGCAAACUAGAGUGUGGUAGGGGAGACUGGAAUUCCUGGUGUAGCGGUGGAAUGCGCAGAUAUCAGGAGGAACACCAAUGGCGAAGGCAGGUCUCUGGGCCAUAACUGACACUGAGGAGCGAAAGUGCGGGGAGCGAACAGGAUUAGAUACCCUGGUAGUCCGCACCGUAAACGGUGGGCACUAGUUGUGGGAACCUUCCACGGUUUCCGCGACGCAGCAAACGCAUUAAGUGCCCCGCCUGGGGAGUACGAUCGCAAGAUUAAAACUCAAAUGAAUUGACGGA
rnacentral:rRNA from 1 species